CGGAGAGGGCGCAUGAGAGACGGCCCCUCAUCCAAGGAAGGCAGCAGGCGCGUAAAUUACCCAAUCCUGUCACAGGGAGGUAGUGACAAUAAAUAACAAUGCCGGGCCAUCAUUGGUCUGGCAAUUGGAAUGAGAACAAUUUAAAUCCCUUAUCGAGGAUCAAUUGGAGGGCAAGUCUGGUGCCAGCAGCCGCGGUAAUUCCAGCUCCAAUAGCGUAUAUUAAAGUUGUUGCAGUUAAAAAGCUCGUAGUUGGAUUUGUGGCGUACGAUGUGUUCCGGGCACUUGUUGUCUGAGUAACCUGUUGUUGCCAUCCUUGGGUGGAACCUGUGUGGCAUUAGGUUGUCGUGCAGGGGAUGCCCAUCAUUUACUGUGAAAAAAUUAGAGUGUUCAAAGCAGGCUUAUGCCGUUGAAUAUAUUAGCAUGGAAUAAUGAGAUAGGACUUUUUUGCUAUUUUGUUGGUUUGCGCAAAGAGGUAAUGAUUAAUAGGGACAGUUGGGGGUAUUCGUAUUCCAUUGUCAGAGGUGAAAUUCUUGGAUUUUUGGAAGACGAACUACUGCGAAAGCAUUUACCAAGGAUGUUUUCAUUAAUCAAGAACGAAAGUUAGGGGAUCGAAGAUGAUUAGAUACCAUCGUAGUCUUAACCAUAAACUAUGCCGACAAGGGAUUGGUGGAGUCUCGUUAUGUCUCCAUCAGCACCUUAUGAGAAAUCACAAGUCUUUGGGUUCCGGGGGGAGUAUGGUCGCAAGGCUGAUACUUAAAGAAAUUGACGGAAGGGCACCACCAGGA
rnacentral:rRNA from 1 species